UCGGCCUCGGCGCGCAGGCUCGGCAUGUCGCGCUUCUUGCGCGCGGCGGAGACUUCGUCGGCCUUGACGGCCAGGAUCUUGUCGAGGAUGUCGGAC
rnacentral:tRNA from 1 species